AUCAUGUGAAGUGCCGCCACUCUCUCUCUCUCUCUCUCUCUCUCUGGUUCAAUCUAAAGCUUCAAGCUUUAAAAUCUAACAAAACACUCACUUCUGUUUUGUAUUUGUUAUGUUUUGUUUUUCUUUUUCUGUUUAAAUUAUUCCGAGAGAUUCUUCUUCUUCUUCUUCUUCUUGUUCUUUUGUUGUUUCCAAUGUCUACAACUUCCUCAAAGUUCAUCAAGUGUGUGACAGUUGGGGAUGGUGCUGUUGGGAAGACCUGCAUGCUCAUUUGCUAUACUAGCAAUAAAUUUCCCACGGACUAUAUUCCCACGGUGUUUGAUAAUUUCAGUGCAAAUGUGGUCGUUGAAGACACAACUGUGAAUUUGGGUCUCUGGGACACAGCUGGGCAAGAGGAUUACAACAGGUUGAGGCCUUUGAGCUACAGGGGGGCUGAUGUCUUUGUCUUGGCUUUUUCUUUAGUUAGUCGCGCUAGCUAUGAGAAUGUGUUGAAGAAGUGGAUCCCUGAGCUUCAGCAUUAUGCACCUGGCAUCCCAGUGGUACUAGUUGGCACCAAAUUGGAUCUCCGAGAAGACAAGCACUAUUUGGCUGAUCAUCCUGGCCUAGUGACUGUGACUACUGAGCAAGGUGAGGAACUCCGUAAAGAGAUUGGAGCUACAUAUUAUAUUGAGUGCAGCUCAAAAACUCAGCAGAAUGUCAAGUCAGUUUUUGAUGCUGCAAUCAGGAUGGUCAUCAAGCCUCCACAAAAGCAACAGGAGAAGAGGAAAAAGCCACGUCAAUGUUGUUUCAUGUGUGCCUAGGGAUUGAGAAGGAUCGGAAAUCUCUUGAAGCGAUAAAAGUAACUUGUUCCACAAGUAAGCGUAUUGGUAAAGCUUCAAGAGGGGCCCAGAUUUCCGGUGAGUCCUCACUAGGCAGGGACACGACACGUGGCUGAGGCAGUUGACAGACCGGAUUUUGAGUGGCUGUAGGCUACUACCUUUUUGGAGUGUUUGAUGGAUUUUAGUAUUUUCGCAUUUGAUGGAUCAUGAUAUUGAUCCUUUAUUUUGUAUAUGGCCUGUAUAUGUUUUGUACAUGUCUAUCAGUUUGAUGCAUGUACAUUUGAGUAUUCAGGAACGUUAUAUGAUGAUGUAGUAUUCAGAUAGGUUUAUGUUUUGAUGGCAUGCUGUUAG